CCUACGGGAGGCAGCAGUGAGGAAUAUUGGUCAAUGGACGAGAGUCUGAACCAGCGAAGUAGCGUGAAGGAUGACUGCCCUAUGGGUUGUAAACUUCUUUUAUAAAUGAAUAAAACGAGGCACGUGUGCCUUUUUGCAUGUACUUUAUGAAUAAGGAUCGGCUAACUCCAUGCCAGCAGCCGCGGUAAUACGGAGGAUCCGAGCGUUAUCCGGAUUUAUUGGGUGUAAAGGGAGCGUAGAUGGGUUGUUAAGUCAGUUGUGAAAGUUUGCGGCUCAACCGUAAAAUUGCAAUUGAUACUGGCAGUCUUGAGUACAGUUGAGGUAGGCGGAAUUCGUGGUGUAGCGGUGAAAUGCUUAGAUAUCACGAAGAACCCCGAUUGCGAAGGCAGCUUACUAAACUGUGACUGACAUUGAUGCUCGAAAGUGUGGGGAUCAAACAGGAUUAGAUACCCCGGUAGUC
rnacentral:rRNA from 1 species